rnacentral:misc_RNA from 1 species
GUGAAGAACGCAGCGAAACGCGAUAUGUAAUGUGAAUUGCAGAAUUCAGUGAAUCAUCGAAUCUUUGAACGCACAUGGCGCCUUCCAGUAUCCUGGGAGGCAUGCCUGUCCGAGCGUCGUUUCAACCCUCGAGCCCCCGUGGCCCGGCGUUGGGGAUCUGCCCAGGCAGUCCCCGAAAACCAGUGGCGGACCCGUUACAGGCCCUUCCCUUGCGUAGUAGCAUUCGCCUCGCAUCGGGAGCCGGCGGGCUUCCAGCCUCUAAACCCCCAUCAAGUCCGCCCCGGCGGCACCAAGGUUGACCUCGGAUCAGGUAGGAAUACCCGCUGAACUUAAGCAUAUCAAUAAGCGGAGGA